CAAGAGGCAUUUAAGGACAAACAUGACUUAAGCACUUGUCUUGUCCCUCCCUCCCUUUGGGAUCUCUGUCAGCUGGAACACUUCUACAGCAGGAGUGAAUUCUGAAACCUAAGAGAGGUUUGUAGUGACCAUUUCACCCAGUAGGCUAUGGAAUUUCCUUAACCAAUUUCUGCAUCAGACCUGUAAUUCCUGCUUGAGACUAGGUGCCAUUCAGCAGACCCUUAACACUGGUUCAAACAUUUUAAAUGGUGGACUGUCACUUACAGUCAUGUUUGGACUGUGAAAAGUGCUAACUCAUGCAUUUUCUGAAUGCCUGGAAAAUAAAAGCAAACUUCAUCUCAAUAUAAAUUUUAUGAACAGUGGAGAAUGACCUGGAAGAUAAGAGCCGCUGUUAACAUGCGUUACCUCCGAUAAUUUACUGCCACGUCCUCAUCUUUCAGCUCAAUGGAGCAAUGGUGUCUCCUAGUGGACAAGUACCUGCAGACGGCUGGCAACAACUCAGAAAAUAUUCAGCUCCAUUUCAGUUGGUAUUUGCAAAGUGACUGAAUACACCCGUAAAGUUGUGAGACCCUGUUCCCCCACUGCAAGCAGCUAGAGAUGUGCUUCCACAGAAGCCUUCAAGUGGACAGAGAAUGACAUGAAACCAAGUAUUACUCAGCUUAAAUCAGGUUUCUUGAGUUGACAUACUAGAAAGUAUUGCCAAGGAACAGGGCUAAAAUACAUUUCAGAGUUGCUGAAUAUAGUGAAAGGUGGCAGUUGUGUUUGUUCUAGGAAAUGUUAUGCACUUGAAAACUUUUACUCUCAACAGAAAAAAAUACAUAUUUUUAAUUAAACUUAAGCGGAAUUGAUACAUGGA